rnacentral:rRNA from 1 species
ACGGGUGAGUAACACGUGGGUAACCUACCUAUAAGACUGGGAUAACUUCGGGAAACCGGAGCUAAUACCGGAUAAUAUUUCGAACCGCAUGGUUCGAUAGUGAAAGGUGGUUCUGCUAUCACUUAUAGGUGGACCCGCGCCGUAUUAGCUAGUUGGUAAGGUAACGGCUUACCAAGGCGACGAUACGUAGCCGACCUGAGAGGGUGAUCGGCCACACUGGAACUGAGACACGGUCCAGACUCCUACGGGAGGCAGCAGUC